GAUACAAGGAAGAAGGAUGGAAAGAGGAAAAGGAUCGUGGAGGGUGAUUCUGUUAAGAACUUGAAGAAGUUUGUUGUGGAGAGCAAGGGGAAGGGAAAGGGGAAGGAUGUAGGUAAUAAAUCGAGUAAGAAUGAGAGCAGUUUGGUGAUACAUAGUGAUAUCAAACAUUCCGAAGUGCAAUUAGAUUCUGAUUUUGAUGUCCCUGUCAAGAAUGAAGCUCAAGUGCUUAUCCAGAAGAUAAUUCCAACUCAACGAAUUUUAAAGGUGUGUUAAUUUAAAUGUUGUUAUUGUUUACUGUACAAUGCUUAAUUGGUUACUGCCUAAUAUUAAUGAUUAAUGCUUGGUAACCACAUGAUUGGUAACCAAUGCAUUAGACAAUAACCACCAUGUUGCAUGAAGGUAACCAAAACUGACUUGGGUAGUCUUAUGAUGUCUUGGUUACUGUCUAAUGAUGUCUUGGUUACUAUCUUAUGAGUGUCUUGGUUACUGUCUAAUGAUGUCUUGGUUACUGUCUAAUGAUGUCUUGGUUACUGUCUUAUGAGUGUCUUGAUUACUGUCUAAUGAUGUCUUGGUUACCGUCUAAUGAUUUCUUGGUUACUGUCUUAUGUGUGUCUUGGUUACUGUCUAAUGAUGUCUUGAUUACUGUCUUAUGAUGUCUUGGUUACUGUUUAAUGAUGUCUUGGUUAUUGUCUAACCAAUAUAUUGUCUAAAGCUGUAUUGGUUACUGUGCAACAUUGUAUUGAUUACUGUAUAAUGCUAAAUGGGUUACUGACUAAUGCUGUUUUGGUUACUGCAUAAUAUUUUUGACUAAUGAUUGGUAAGCACAUGGUUGGUAACCAAUGUAUUAGAUAAUAACCAGCAUGUUGCAUAAAGGUAACCAAGACAACAUUAAUAAGUAACCAAUUUACAUUGGUUACCUUCUUGCAACAUGUUGUUUACUGUAUAAUGUUGUCUUGGUUACUGUCUAAUGAUUUAUUGGUUGUUGUCUAACUAUUAUAUUGUGUAAUGAUGUCUUGGUUAUUGUCUAAUGCUGGAUUGGUUACUGAUUAAUGAUGUUUUGUUUACUGACUAAAGCUAUAUUGGUUACUUGUCUAUGUUAUUUUGGUUACUAUCAUAUGAUUGGUUGGUUAACUUUGUAAAUCUGAUUUUGUUUACUUGCAGUUAUGGGAUCUUUAUUACGA
rnacentral:lncRNA from 1 species